UCAUGAGCAUGAAUACUUUUGGCC
rnacentral:siRNA from 1 species